AUACCUUCUCGGCCUCUUGGCUAAGAUCAAUUUGUAGUACCUGUUCUUAUCAGCGUGAUAGCUGAUAGUUUCCCAAACUUCCUGGGAACUUUCUUAUCACGGUUAUUUUUCUCUGGGGAUGAAUCUCACUCGGGCUUGCCCUGUGGUUCUUCGCGCGUUGCCCUCCCCUUACACCUUCGGGUUGUGCAGUGCACCCAAA
rnacentral:snRNA from 1 species